rnacentral:tRNA from 1 species
GGGCAAGUGGCGGAACUGGCAGACGCGCAGGCUUCAGGAGCCUGUUCCCGCAAGGGAGUGGAGGUUCAAGUCCUCUCUCGCCCACCA